UACGUAGGUGGCUAGCGUUUGUCCGGGAUUUUACUGGGGCGUAAAGAGCGCGCAGGCGGUCAUUCAAGUCGAGUGUGAAGCCCCCGGCUCAACUGGGGGAGGGGUCACUCGAUACUGAUCGACUCGAAGGCAGGAGAGGGAAGCGGAAUUCCCGGUGUAGUGGUGAAUGCGUAGAGUAUCGGGAGGAACACCAGUGGCGAA
rnacentral:rRNA from 1 species